GUCGGCUCAGCCAAUAAGAUGUUUCUCGGCUCUCUGCCGAUGAUGGCUUGUCGUGUUAUAAUCAUUACCUCUGUUAGUGUGUUUUGAUAGAGUUGUACAGACUGCUAUUGAAGGAGCUGAGAGAACUACACAUGGCAACUCGUAUCAGACCUAGCAACAAGCGGUGCACCGUCAUCGGAGGGUCUGGAUUUCUCGGCAGACACCUUGUGGAGCAUUUAUUGGACAAAGGAUACGCAGUGGCUGUGUUUGAUAUCAGACAGACCUAUGAUCGUCCAGGAGUGACAUUUCACCAAGGGGACCUGUGUGACAAACAGGCUUUGCUUGUGGCUUUGAAAGAUGUGUCUAUAGUAUUUCACUGUGCCUCACCUGCACCAGCCAGUGAUGACCGUGCACUGUUUCAGAGGGUCAAUAUUGAUGGCACACGGACUGUUAUACAGGCCUGCCAUGAGGCAGGAGUGCAGAAAUUAGUACUGACCAGCAGUGCAAGUGUGGUGUUUGAAGGAACUGACAUCAAGAAUGGGAAAGAGGAUUUGCCAUAUGCGAAAAAGCCAAUAGAUUAUUAUACAGAAACCAAAAUCCAGCAGGAAAAGUUGGUGUUGGAGGCGUGCAGUAAAGAGAAGGGUUUCCUCACUGUUGCUAUCCGUCCGCAUGGCAUCUUUGGUCCCCGGGACCCUCAGUUAGUACCCAUCCUGGUAGACACGGCCCGCAGAGGAAAAAUGAAGUUCAUUAUCGGAGAUGGAUCCAAUCUUGUGGACUUUACCUUUGUGGAGAAUGUAGUUCAUGGGCAUAUUUUAGCGGCUGAACGCCUGAAGCCUGAUUCUCCGCUCUGUGGUCAGGCUUACCACAUAACCAAUGAUGAGCCAGUGCGUUUCUGGGAUUUCAUGUCUCAGAUUCUGGUGGGUUUGGGCUACAGCGCCCCACGGUACCACCUGCCUUACAUGCUGGUGUAUGGAAUCGCCUUGCUGCUGUGGCUGAUCGCCUUCAUACUGCGGCCCCUGAUCCAGAUCAAACCAACCUUCACCCCCAUGCGAGUAGCUCUGGCUGGCACCUACCACUACUACAGCUGUGCCCGUGCCAAGCAGGACAUGGGUUACCAGCCCGUGGUGCCUUUACAAGAGGCGAUAGCACGCACUGUAGAGAGCUAUCCACAUCUAAGGAAUGGAGCAUAAUACCACAGUAAAUACUUUUUUCUUGCAUGCUGAGACUGGAGUUUUUACUGACGUGUUUACUUUGUGCUGAACUGUAGUAUAAGCCUUAGAUUACAAGUGUUUAUUUUAUAGGUUGCAUUAACAAUGCACUUAAUCAUUCCUAUAAAUUAAAUGUAAAUUUUCACCAACAAAUGUUGGGUUCAGAUGGCAAGAUAUUUGUGACUUGCCCCUUUGGAUCGAAAGAAUUCAAACUUUAUGAAACUCUAUUCAAGUCUAACUCCGUAUACAUUUUAAUUCAAAUAUCUAAUGGUAUCACAUUCCUUUUUUGGUUAGGGUUUGGGUACAACUCUGUUGUACCUUCGUCUUUUUGUUACAAUUUUCAAAUUCUUUUUUGCUUUAAAUCAAACCUUGAAUUCUUCCCUAUGGAAAAAAAUAAAUGGGGGAAAAAUAAUUUUGGAACCAAGACAGCGGAAAAAGUGGGCGGGCUUUGUUGUGGUCUAUUGGUUAAAGGAAUAUUCUGGGUUCAACACAAGUUAAGCUCAGUCGACAGCAUUUGUGACAAUGUUGAUUACAACAAAAAUAAUUUUGACUCGUCCCUUUCUUUAAAAAAAGCAAACAAUAUAAGUUACAGUGAGACCCUUACAAUGGAAAUGAAUGAGGACACUUUGGAGGGUUUAAAGGCAGAAAUGUUUAGAAUUUUUUUUAUAAAAGCACUUACAUUAAUUCCUCUGUUAAAUCUUGUGUGAGCUGUAAAGUUGUUUAAAUGGUUGUUUUUCCGGUUGUUUUAGGGCUUACAGCAUUACGUCAUCAUUGCAACAAAGUUGUAAAAUUGGAUAUAACUUUACAGAGAAAAGGUUAGCAAGCGAUUUUAUCACACUAAAAUCAUUUUAACAUGCAUAUUAUUAACAUCUUGUGGCUUUUGAAAUGGUAUGUUAAUGUUUACAAAUUGGCCUCAUUCACUUCCAUUGUAAGUGCCUCACUGUAACCCAGAUUUUAUUUUCUUUUUUUUUUUCUCCCCAAUUUGGAAUUCCCUAUGCGCUCUAAGUCCUCGUGGUGGUGUAGUGAUUCGCCUCAAUCCGGGUGGCGGAGGACGAGUCUCAGUUGCCUCCUCGUCUGAGACAGUAAAUCCGCGCAUCUUAUCACGUGGCUUGUUGAGCGUGUUACCGCAGAGACAUAGCUCGUGUGGAGGCUUCGAGCUAUUCUCCAUGGCAUCCACGCACAACUCCCCACACGCCCCACUGAGAGCGAGAACCACAUUGUAGUGCCUCUACCCUCCCUAGCAACCGGGCCAAUUUGGUUGCUUAGGAGACCUGGCUGGUGUCACUUGGCACGCCCUGGAUUCGAACUCGCAACUUUAGGGGUGGUAGUCAGUGUCUUUACUUACUGAGCUACCCAGGCCCCCCGAUUUUAUAUUUUCGUAAAGGAAGGAGGGACAAGUUGAAAUUAAUUUUUGUGAUAAUCAGCAUUAUGCCUCAAAUGGUGUCGAUUGAGCUUAACUUGUAUUUAACCCUGAAUAUUCCUUUAAUAUUGUUCCUGCCCACAUGCCCUAAGUGAUGUCAGCAGAAAAAAAAUGUUGGUUUAGAGGUGGAGCAAGUUGUUACUUUUUGAUUAAAGAUUACAAAGUUAAAAACAACAAGACCACGAAUGUGUAUUACAAACCUAAUUGGGGUCAAAUUUGAUUUCACAUUCACUUAAAAGUCACCUUUUGGUGGUUGUAUUAUGACAUAAUCUAUUUCAGCAUCAACAAAAAGACCAGUUUGCGUAGAAUGUCAGUGAAUUAAAUCAUCAUGAUGUCACACCUUUUAAGUAAUUUUAAUUGUAAAAGAGUAAUAAUGGGAAGGACAUACACACUCUUACUUAUGGAGCAUUUUCUCUGUCCAUUUCCAAUUCUCUAUCACCCAUAUUUCAUGACAAAUCACAUCAGUCACAUAUGCAUAUAACUUUCAUUUCACACUAGUAAUCCUUCAGCGAUACAUUAUAAAAAAUGACAGCAAUGUUUCCCCAAUGAUACAUUUUUACAAUUCCUCCAGCAGGCGUUGGAUGGGAGGUGGGGGUGUUGUUCAGAUAGCUGACAUUCCCCACGCAAAGAUAUGAAUCACUAUGACUCAGUCGUCAAACCUGAUUCUUUCCUGUUGCAGUAGGUGUUACCCACUAUGAAACUACAUCGGGCCUGUUGGUUCUCUCUCGAGACGCGCUCACAGGGGUGUGAAUGCAUCUUUUGGCAGCAGAAUGCUGGUCAUUGGGUUAGUGAGUAUCCUAGAGACUGCACACACCCUAUUUGUUGUAAACAAGAGUGUGUGAGACAGUUUUACACUGUGGUUUGGAUUGGUGCCUCCGUGUUCAUUUAUGGACACUUGACUCAGCCGUUCACCUUGACUGAACACUGGGUUACCGUUGACACACGUUUAUCUAAGCAGUUAGCUGUAGGCUGUCCUUACUUUGGAAAGUCUACAAUUUGAGAGUUGUUUUUGUUUCAGUAUCAGCGGUCUUUAAUAUUUAAACUAUUUUUUUUAGUCCUGAUUUAUUAAUUUAUUCAAAAAAACAAUAAAAAUGAAGUUCAAACAGACAAUGUCUUGGAUAAACCUAAUGAACAUUUAUGAAUUAAAAUGUGUGUGUGUGUGUGUGUGUGUGUUAUACAGUUUUUCCCAAGUCCUGACAUUAAAUCAUAGAAAACAUUCCCUGUCUUAGGUCAGUUAGGAUCACUACUUUAUUUUAAGAAUGUGAAAUGUCAGAAUAAUAGUAGAGAGAAUUAUUUAUUUCAGCUUUUAUUUCUUUCAUCACAUUCCCAGUGGGUCAGAAGUUUACAUACACUUUGUUAGUAUUUGGUAGCAUUGCCUUUAAAUUGUUUAAUUUGGGUCAAACAUUUUAGGUAGCCUUCCACAAGCUUCUCACAAUAAGUUGCUGGAAUUUUGGCCCAUUCCUCCAGACAGAACUGGUGUAACUGAGUCAGGUUUGUAGGCCUCCUUGCUCACACAUGCUUUUUCAGUUCUGCCCACAAAUUUUCUCUCAGAUUGAGGUCAGGGCUUUGUGAUGGCCACUCCAAUACCUUGACUUUGUUGUCCUUAAGCCAUUUUGCCACAACUUUGGAGGUAUACUUGAGGUCAUUGUCCAUUUGGAAGACCCAUUUGCGACCGAGCUUUAACUUCCUGGCUGAGGUCUUGAGAUGUUCCUUCAAUAUAUCCACAUAAUUUUCCUUCCUCAUGAUGCCAUCUAUUUUGUGAAGUGCACCAGUCCCUCCUGCAGCAAAGCACCUUCACAACAUGAUUCUGCCACCCCCAUGCUUCACGGUUGGGAUGGUGUUCUUCGGCUUGCAAACCUCACCCUUUUUCCUCCAAACAUAAUGGUCAUUAUGGCCAAACAGUUAAAUUUUUGUUUCAUCAGACCAAAGGAAAUUUCUCCGAAAAGUAAUAUCUUUGUCCCCAUGUGCACUUGCAAACUGUAGUCUGGCUUUUUUAUGGCAGUUUUGGAGCAGUGGCUUCUUACUUGCUGAGCAGCCUUUCAGGUUAUGUCGAUAUAGGACUCGUUUUACUGUAGAUAUAGAUACUUGUCUACCUGUUUCCCCAGCAUCUUCACAAGAUCUUUUGCUGUUGUUCUGGGAUUGAUUUUUACUUUCGCACCAAACUAAGUUCAUCUCUAGGAGACAGAAUGCAUCACCUUCCUGAGCGGUAUGAUGGCUGCGUGGUCCCAUGGUGUUUAUAUUGGCGUACUAUUGUUUUUACAGAUGAAUGUGGUACCUUCAGGCAUUUGGAAAUUGCUCCCAGGGAUGAACCAGACUUGUGGGGGUCCACAAUUGUUUUUUUUCUGAGGUCUUGGCUGAUUUCUUUUGAUUUUCCCAUGAUGUCAAGCAAAGAGGCACUGAGUUUGAAGGUAGGCCUUAAAAUACAUUCACAGGUACACCUCCAGUUCAGUACACCUCCUAUCAGAAGCUAAUUGCCUAAAGGCUUGACAUCAUUUUCUGGAAUUUUCCAAGCUGUUUAAAGGCACAGUUAACUUGGUGUAUGUAAACUUCUGACCCACUGGAAUUGUGAUAGUCAAUUAAAAGUGAAACAAUCUGUCUGUAAACAAUUGUUGGAAAAAUUAAUCAUGUCAUGCACAAAGUAGAUGUCCUAAAUGACUUGCCAAAACUAUAGUUUGCUAAUAUGAAAUCUGUGGAGUGGUUAAAAAAUGAGUUUUAAUGACUUCAACCUAAGUGUGUGUAAACUUCUGACUUCAACUGUACAUACAUAGACUUUUUAUUGAAAGAAUUGUCAGUAGUGUAACCCACUUGAGAUCAUAACUAAGACAAAAGUUCUUAGGAAAAAGGCUGUAAUUCUUGUAAAAUAUAUACAUUCAUUUAUUUGUUUAAAUUGAAAGAAAAGAAAAAGUGAAGUUUUGUUUUUAUAUAUAUAGAUAUAAAAUCCACAAUUUUUCAAUGUGGUGUAACUAACAUGCAGGAAGCCAUUUUGUUGAAAAUAUCAUAGUUAGAUUUUUUUUGUUUUGUUAUUACUGAAUUACAAGAUUAUUUUAGGUUUUUAAAUGGUAAAACAAAGACAAAUUCAUGAUAUUCAUGCUUCAAAAAUGCAAUAAAUAUUUAAAAAUAUUUUUUGUUUGUGUGUUUACCUUGGAAGAAUUAUGUUUGAAAAAUAAUCUUUAAGAUACACACACAUUGUAUCCCCCCCUAAAAAAUCUCAUGAAAUCAACAUGAAUUCAAAGAAUACAUUUUCAAGGACUUGGAACAUGUAUUUUGAUUUAGAUUUUUAAACAACUUUUCAUGAUCUCUGACAUCCUUAUUUGUCAUUUUGCCCCAAAACAAACAUUGCAAACUGCUGCAUUUUCUACUGCAAAUUAUAUUAAACACAUCCAAAUGAAUUUCCACUGUACCCUGUGCUUAUUAAAGGGCCCAAGCAGUUGUACUGUUGUAGCUAUAUUGGAUCAGUCCCACAGGAAUGCAUUAUGAGCUUUGCACUGUCCCUCUGGACGCUGUUCUCUGAGCAGUUUCUGUCUUUAAAUCAUGUUGAUUUGUUUUGUUAGACAGGCAGGGAACCCUGAUCUCGAUUCAGCCAGUUUAGAUGUGGUGUGACAUCACCUCCAGUUAUUGUUUUCUGUAGCUUUGACUAUGUGCAGCAAUGCAUCUGAAUUCAACAAAUAAAGGGAAGAGAUGAAUACACUUCCCAUUCAACCCAAAACAUGAAGUAACACACACACACACACACAGGUACACACCUAUGUUUGGUUGGCCAGGCCUCCCCGACUGGCUGGGCAGGUCUGUGCCCACACCCGUACUUGCUCGCUCAAGGAGAUAGCUGUCAGUGCACACCUUUCCUCAACGUGUUUAUUGACUAAGAGCUCAAUCCAUCAGGUGAAAUUUCAGAACACUUCAGUGCACCUGUGAUCGUACCUUGAUACUACAGCUAAUCAGGUUACUUUUGAAGCAGUUUUCUGACAGGAGUUCUGCUAACAAUGUCCAGUGG